rnacentral:rRNA from 1 species
AUUGAACGCUGGCGGCAGGCCUAACACAUGCAAGUCGAACGAGUGGCGGACGGGUGAGUAAUGUCUGGGAAACUGCCCGAUGGAGGGGGAUAACUACUGGAAACGGUAGCUAAUACCGCAUACCAUCGGAUGUGCCCAGAUGGGAUUAGCUAGUAGGUGGGGUAACGGCUCACCUAGGCGACGAUCCCUAGCUGGUCUGAGAGGAUGACCAGCCACACUGGAACGGAUACACGGUCCAGACUCCUACGGGAGGAAGCAGUGGGGAAUAUUGCACAAUGGGCGCAAGCCUGAUGCAGCCAUGCCGCGUGUAUGAAGAAGGCCUUCGGGUUGUAAAGUACUUUCAGCGAGGAGGCGUUACCCGCAGAAGAAGCACCGGCUAACUCCGUGCCAGCAGCCGCGGUAAUAC